UACGAAGGGGGCUAGCGUUGCUCGGAAUCACUGGGCGUAAAGCGCACGUAGGCGGAUCUUUAAGUCAGGGGUGAAAUCCUGGAGCUCAACUCCAGAACUGCCUCUGAUACUGGGGAUCUUGGGUCCGGAAGAGGUAAGUGGAACUGCGAGUGUAGAGGUGAAAUUCGUAGAUAUUCGCAAGAACACCAGUGGCGAAGGCGGCUUACUGGUCCGGUACUGACGCUGAGGUGCGAAAGCGUGGGGAGCAAACAGG
rnacentral:rRNA from 1 species